rnacentral:rRNA from 1 species
UACGGAGGGGGCUAGCGUUAUUCGGCAUUACUGGGCGUAAAGCGCGAGUCGACGGGCUGUUAAGUCGGGGGUGAAAUCCCGGGGCUCAACCCCGGAACUGCCUUCGAUACUGGCAGCCUAGAGGAAGGCAGAGGCUAGUGGAAUGGCGAGUGUAGAGGUGAAAUUCGUAGAUAUUCGCCGGAACACCAGUGGCGAAGGCGACUGGCUGGGCCUUUUCUUUCGCUGAGGUGCGAAAGCGUGGGGAGCAAACAGG